CCCGAUCCUAAGCAGUUCGCUGAUGAGGCUUGGGGAGUUGGGAAAUUGAGGCACAGGAGGCUGGCGAGCCUGGUCGGGUACUGUUGUGAUGGAGACGAGAGUACUUCUUCUUGUUGCUGAGUACAUGCCAAAUGACACUCUUUGCAAGCAUUUGUCUCACUGGGAAAAUCAAACGAUUGAAUGAGCUAUGCGUUUAAGGGUGCCGUAGUACUAUAUCGCUGAAGCCUUGGAUUAUUGUAGUGCUGAAGGACGGCCUUUGUAUCAUGACGUUAAUGCCUGUCGAGUUCUCUUUGAUGAGGAUGGUGAUCCACGUCUUUCAUGUUUUGGUCUUAUGAAAAACAGCAGAGAUUGGGAAAAGCUAUGGCACAAAUCUUGCUUACACACCUCCAGAGUCCAGAGUAUUUAAGAAAUAGUAUACUUUUAUUAAACAGGAGUGUCAAUGUUGCUGAAGUACUUAAAUAAUAGAUCGAAGGGUACACCUGCAGGUUGUGCAAAACCUUGAUGUUGUUGUGCAUACUGCUUCUCUUUUUAUUGUUUGUAUAUUAAAAAAUGAUUAUGGUGUUCGGCAAAGGGUAUUAAGCUUUUUAACAUUUUGAUCAUUUAACCCAUGAAAGAUGCAGAUAAUUUCCUUAAUUCAGGACAUGCCUAAUAAACAAGUACGUAUAGGCAGUCUACAUCAUUUAGUAGUCUCCCUCAUGCUUUCUUCCUUGACAUGAAGGAUAACUUUCCAGUCCAAAUUGUCGCUAGUGUUCCGUAGUUUAGUAAAACAUGUGCAUGGGACUAGGGGUGUGCAACGGUCGGUUCGGUUCGGUUUUAAAUCAUUUCUUACACAAGCAUACUGCACCUUAUAUAUGUUCUGGUUUUGUAUAAUCCAGCA